AGGGAACACAAAGAAGAGACAAAAACAGAACACUGAAGAGAGAGAGAGAGAGAGAGAGAGCGAAAGGAAUGUGAAAUCAGGCACGACACUAAUGAAGAGAUCUCCGGGCAUUAGAAUGGCAUUAAGAAUAAUUAUCGCGCAUGAAAUUGACGUAAAUUUUCGUCAAUCAGGGGUUGGAGAUGAAUGGAACAUUACAUCUUAAAAAAAAAA
rnacentral:lncRNA from 1 species